GUGCUCUCUUCUGCAGCACAUGUACUAAAAUUAGAAUCAUACAGAGAAGAUUAGCAUGGCCCCUGAGUAAGUAUGACACACAAAUUCGUGAAAGCAUUCCAUAUUUUU
rnacentral:snRNA from 1 species